rnacentral:rRNA from 1 species
AAACCUUUGCAAUACACGAAAGUGUGACAGGGUCAUCCCGAGUGCCGACCGCUGAGGUUGGCUUUUACCCAGUCUAGAAAGCUGGGGGAAUAAGGAGAGGGCAAGUCUGGUGUCAGCCGCCGCGGUAAUACCAGCUCUCCGAGUGGUGUGGACGUUUAUUGGGCCUAAAGCAUCCGUAGCUGGCUGAUCAAGUCCCCUGUUAAACCCACCGAUUUAAUCGUUGGUCUGCGGGGGAUACUGUUCGGCUAGGGGACGAGAGAGGCAGACGGUAUUCCCGGGGUAGGGGUGAAAUCCUAUAAUCCCGAGAAGACCACCAGUGGCGAAGGCUGUCUGCUAGAACGCGCCCGACGGUGAGGGAUGAAAGCUGGGGGAGCGAACCGGAUUAGA